rnacentral:rRNA from 1 species
UACAGAGGUCCCAAGCGUUGUUCGGAUUCACUGGGCGUAAAGGGUGCGUAGGCGGUGAGGUAAGUCGGAUGUGAAAGCUCCGAGCUCAACUCGGAAAUGGCAUUGGAAACUACCUUGCUAGAGGGUUUGAGGGGGGACUGGAAUACUUGGUGUAGCAGUGAAAUGCGUAGAUAUCAAGUGGAACACCAGUGGCGAAGGCGAGUCCCUGGAAAACUCCUGACACUGAGGCACGAAAGCUAGGGGAGCAAACAGG